UACUACUACUACUACUACUACUACUUCUAUAUCCUCUACUACUACUACUACUACUACAACUGUAACACAAGUAACAACAAUUAUAACAGAAAUUAAACAAUAACAACAUCAACAUCAACUACAACAAUAACACUGACCAUGGCUAUGGUUGGUCAAAGGCACUCCAGCCUUGACCAUCCAUCCUGCCUUUUCCAAGCCUUGCAGAUUCACCGUCAUCAUCAAUAAAGAUGCUGCGUUUGACGCAUUACUGCACAUCUAUGCAGUAUCGACGAAUAUAUAUCCGGCAUUGGGAGGUGAGCGACAUGUGACUAGAGAAUGUAAACAAAAUGAAGAAAACAAAAAGAAACAAAACAGAAAGCCCCACCAACGCAAUAGACUACUUCAACCGGUCUCAUAAUACAAUAAACCACCAGGUCCAAGCAUAAA